CCAGCCAAUGAGAAGUUAGCCCGGAACUCUCCUAACGCCUCUCAUAUUACAGCAGCAAGCAUGGGGAAGACUGGAACACCGGGUGGAAAGAUCAACAGACCCAAGACAGAGCUGGGCAAGAAGCUCUAUAAGCGGCGGAGGAAUCUGACCCGUGAGAAGAGGAGGAGACACAUCAAGGUGGGAGCUGUGGUGGACGAAGGACUCACCACCAUCCACCAUCUCAGGAAGAGAAACUCCAGCCCCAGAGCCAACAUCACUCUGUCUGGGAAGAAGUGAAG